rnacentral:rRNA from 1 species
AUGGCCAACGCUCCCAGUUUUUCUUCCCGCCCCCACGGUCCGCAAAAAGGAGAUUGGGAGAAUUGUUCUGUAUCCCACACUCAACUGACCAAGCUCCAGAUGCAGGGAUAUCUCCCCCCUACGGAUCUAGUCCCCGUUCGGGCAGGAUUAACCUCCUUUACUGGCGAAGCCCUGGCGGAAAAUUUCCCAAACCCUUCAGAAGGGGAGCGAGUGUGCUUCGUUUCCUUUUUAUUAAGAGGCGUUGGAUUUCCAAUCCAUCCUUUCCUCCGAGGUCUCCUGGAGUACUAUGGCCUCCAACUGCACAAUCUUACGCCAGGCUCCAUUCUGCACAUCGCGAGCUUCGUCGCUCUUUGCGAUCUAUUCCUAGGCUGCGAGGCCCAUUUUGAAUUAUGGAGGAAACUUUUCUGCCUCGUCCCUCGCUCCCAAAAGGGAUCCAUAUUCGAGGUGGGUGGCGCCUAA